AUCAAAGGAAAGAGAAAUGCCACUUGACUGGGUCUUCCAGGAAAAACUGAACGUUUUUAAUCUUCCAGGUUUCAAUAGUUGCUGAGAAUUUCAAAGUGGAUUUUGACUUCCAGAAGUCACGCAGUCAUCAGAUGUGUGCAGUGUCUGCAUCCAGCUAUUGGAAGACAGUACUGUAUGAGCAUCUGUGGUAGUGAUGUGGAGAGGAUGUGCUGCUCACCUUCAACACAAGAGCUUUGCAAGCAUUAGACUUCUCGGUACCUUGUGAACUAGACACUGCUUACUCCCAAAACCAGGCUUUCCUAUGACCUCCAGCUGAGGGAAGAUGAAGAGCUGUGUCAACUUAUGGAGGAUGAAGAAUGUGGAGCCUGCUGUCUAUUUGAGGCUUGUUAAUAACAGGUAAGUGGCCAUGGGAGGAACAAGACCCUACAUCUUUACCUUCUCGACUUCAC
rnacentral:lncRNA from 1 species